rnacentral:rRNA from 1 species
UGGAUUAGUGGCGAACGGGUGAGUAACACGUGGGCAAUCUGCCCUGCACUCUGGGACAAGCCCUGGAAACGGGGUCUAAUACCGGAUAUGACUGCUGACCGCAUGGUUGGUGGUGGAAAGCUCCGGCGGUGCAGGAUGAGCCCGCGGCCUAUCAGCUUGUUGGUGGGGUGAUGGCCUACCAAGGCGACGACGGGUAGCCGGCCUGAGAGGGCGACCGGCCACACUGGGACUGAGACACGGCCCAGACUCCUACGGGAGGCAGCAGUGGGGAAUAUUGCACAAUGGGCGCAAGCCUGAUGCAGCGACGCCGCGUGAGGGAUGACGGCCUUCGGGUUGUAAACCUCUUUCAGCAGGGAAGAAGCGUGAGUGACGGUACCUGCAGAAGAAGCGCCGGCUAACUACGUGCCAGCAGCCGCGGUAAUACGUAGGGCGCGAGCGUUGUCCGGAAUUAUUGGGCGUAAAGAGCUCGUAGGCGGCUUGUCGCGUCGGAUGUGAAAGCCCGGGGCUUAACUCCGGGUCUGCAUUCGAUACGGGCAGGCUAGAGUUCGGUAGGGGAGAUCGGAAUUCCUGGUGUAGCGGUGAAAUGCGCAGAUAUCAGGAGGAACACCGGUGGCGAAGGCGGAUCUCUGGGCCGAUACUGACGCUGAGGAGCGAAAGCGUGGGGAGCGAACAGGAUUAGAUACCCUGGUAGUCCACGCCGUAAACGUUGGGAACUAGGUGUGGGCGACA